ensembl:lncRNA
GUGAAGCCCAAGGAACCAGUUCCUGGGGCUGGGGGAGCCUCGGUCACCUUGGAGGGGAUGCAGCGUCUGGAGGCACAGAUCAGGGCUGGCGUGCCUGGCACAGCUGGCCAGGUGGCCUUGGGUGAGUCUCUUCCCUCCCAGGUCCCCAGGGCCUGAAGGAGACAUCUUCAGGUGCCUUCCAGGUCCUGAUCCCUCACUUCACAGGCUGGGGGCAUCUUCAGCACAGAGGCCUCCUGCCAGGGGCUGGUGGUGGGGACCAGUUGCACACCCUGCUGGACCCAUCCAGGGCACACGAACAAUGCCUCCAUCCCUAGCUCUGAAGCCAAAGCUCCUGGAGAGGCUGGAGUUGUGCUGGUGUUAGCUAAGGUCACUCCGCAGAGCGGGAUUCCUUGCCAACUUUCUCCAGUCCCCUGGAGGGCAGCAGAAUGGGGAAGGGGCUUGCCAGGCCACCGGGCCAGGCUGUGGGGAGGAUGCUGUCCGAGGUAGGAGACCUUGUCCUGCCCUGGCUGUCCCCCAAGCCCAGCCCGUUGGAUCCAGAACUUCUCAGGAAUACAGGGACCCACAGAAGGCAGAGGAAACACCCCAAGGGGACCAACAGCCCCAGAGGCCCACUGGUGGGCAUUAGGAAGCCCCAGGGGCAUGCUCGGUCGUUAAGGAGUGCUGGGGGCAGCUGUGUGCACCCAGCCCUCCCGUGACAGCCCUUGCCCCAUUUGACAGAAGGGAGACUGCACUGCUCUGCAUGUGCCCUGGUCCGUUCCAGGGCCGCUUGCAGCGUGUCCACCUGGAACACCCAGCCGAAGGCCCCGUGUCCUCCGGAGAGGCUGCCUGGUGCCUCCAGAUGUCUGUGGGAGCAUGCAGGUGGCCCCUCUAUCCCUCUCCUGCCUGUCCGGUCCUAACGUGGCCCCACGCCCACCCCAAUUCCAUUAGCCAGCUGCCCUCGCCCGCUGCCGUGACUCUGCCCGCUGCUCCUCAGCCUCCCCACCCUUUGCUGGUGGUUGUCUUUUUGGUUCUUUCCCCUUUUCCAUUUCCAAAGUGUGACAUUGUCUCUGAAUUGUGGCAGGUGACUCUUGGAGCUCUGGCCUCCGCCCAGGAGUGCCCCGGAUGGGUCAAGCUUGUACCAGCCACAGAGGGCAACAACCAGACACUGGGCAGGGCACCCGUGGGCUCUGUCCCUGGGCAGAGACUGUCACCUCAAGGGCAGACACAGUCCACACCCCAGUGCAGCUGACUCGGGCAUGGCACUAGGACACUGCUCCAAAGUCACCCUCCCCAGCUGCCUCAUGACCCAAGGUCCCACCACAUGCUUGACAUUGUAGACUGGGCACAGAGAGGCCGGAAAGCCUCCUGGGGGGGCAGGCCCUGGAGUCCCCUUUCCAAGGAGGGGGUGAGAAGCAGAGAAUUUGUCCUGGAGAAGGCAUGGGAGGCAGGUGACCGCCAUCACCGGGCCUGAAGUCUUCCCUUGAGGAAGGAAGCUGCCCUGAUACCCAGCACUGUUGGGAGAGACUGAGCUGAGUCCCUAACUGAGUCCCGCAGGGCAGGAUGGCCCUGACACCAUGGCUGGGCCGGUGUGGCCAGGUUGGUGGGGAGGGCACUAACAGCUAGCCUCGUAUGCUCUGGACUUGGGGCCCAGGCUGGUCAGUAGGAACUCAUUUAGCAUUUGCCUCCUCAUCUCUGAAGUGACUCUAGCAUCUUGGAGGGCAGUGACAAGCUGCAAAGCACUGUCAGGCGCCUCAGUGCUCCAGGCUGACUCCUGCACCCGGAAGGUUCUCCGCCCCUGAGAUCACUCACUGCUAAGGACGGGAGGAGCCUGCUCAGAAGACACGGUCUGCACUCCGCUGAGGGGUUGGAGGUGCAGCCCACUGUGCACAGAAGCGAUAGAUUCCCGUCGUUGGCGGAAUAAAUUUACGUGCUGUUUGAAGAGACAAAACCACGACUCCUUCCAGCCACACGGUGGUGGCGCCGAGGUCACAGAGUCCUCCAUCCUCACGGCUUCUAACCAGGUUGGAAGUGACAUCCAAACCCUCGGCCCAUCCCCCAUCACCGAUCUGCUCCCAGACAAAGGGCCCACCCAGAGCAGCCUUUCGGGCCUCCUGGUCCCCAGCGCACCUUCAGAACAGGUGGGCCCUCGCUGGAGCUUGCUGCAAGGACUUCGGACCUCAUGCCAAGCCUCUCCCCUGCCCUCGCUGCCACAAGACACCCCUUGGUCUCAGGUCCCAGGGCUGGUGACAAAGAGAUCUUUGCGGUCUUACAAAAUAAACUGGGAAUCUACAAAAGGAAAAGAAAGCAUACAAAAUGUAUCUCUUUCUUCCAAAAUACAAGCUUUCAGUCCGACGUUUUGGUGGAGCCUGAAAGUGUUUCCAAGGGAGAUAUAGGUUGAGAUAAUUUAUAGGUUUGUCCUAUUCUUUCAUAAAAAUACUCUUGUUUGGUAAUAAACUUUGUCUUCUACAGUAAGAGAAAUAAUACUGUGUUAUCAAAAGCAAGAAGGCUUUACGAUUCAAGUGGGAUCGAAGCCCCCAGGCCCUGGGGCCCUCCGUGGCAGCUCUCCCACCCCAGACCCCCAGGGAGCUGUCGGACACCAGCUCGGCAAAAGCAACACUGUCUCAACAGUGCUUUUUUAUCUUCUUAUUUUAUAAAACGGCUUACCUGAGAGAGGCAUGUAUUAUUCAGUGCAAGAGGGAACAUCAAUCAGAUUAAGGAGUCAAUGGGAACUAUGUGGAUUAGAUUUGCUGCUCUGUCGUCUGCCUUUCUCGGGCCAGCAAAGUGCCAAGUAUGAACACAGUGAGGGAGCUGAGGACCUUGGCACAGACUCCAGUUAGGGCUAGGGCGAGAGCUAAAAGUCAGCUUCUGUCCCGGGCACCGUGGGUGCGUCAGGGGGCAGGGGAAGGAUGGGGAAGGGGCUGGGAGGCUGAAGGGUCGAAGGCAUAAGCAUCUGGGGUGUGCUCCGCCCUCUCUAGCUAGGGCAGAGGAUGGCUUGUGGUCCUGAACGGACAGCUCCCACCUUGCCACGAGGCGGCGGUGGUCUGGGGUCCGUGUCCGCAGGGGCAGGGGCUGGUGGCAGGUGCCAGCAGGAGCGCACUGGGCACAGGCGCUCUGGGCCCAGCCAAGAAUGGCUCCCAGGUGGCUGGAGUGAGGGUGGGGCUCGACCCAGUCUGGAAAGGUGAUUCCAAGCUCUCGUUCUCCCAACCACGGUAUCACUGGGGCUUGUUCUCAACCUACAUGUUAGAGUCGCUUCUUGGCGUGUUUGGGGUGGGGGGAGAGGGACACUGGCCUCUCUCAGCCCCCUCCAACAACCCUGGCUUACUUACCCAGACAUUUUCGGUAGCUACAUGGGUGGUCACAGAAUACUGGGUGGCACUCAGCACAUGACACAGAACUGGAAAAGUCCAUGCAGGCAGGGGAACACACGUUGGACCGAGGGAGCAAGGAACACGCCACCGCAAGGAACAUGCAAACGGAGAAGGUCCUUGCAGAUCCAAGGAUGCCACAACCCGACGGCGCUGAGGAAGCACAAUUAUCUAAGAAAAAGCCACAGUUGAACAAUGACACGCAGCAUGGCGCCACAUCUACACCCUCUCUGAAAGAGUGAUGCACUGCAGAGCAGCGACCGUACCGUGCAGACGCCCACGAGUACAGCGACACAGACACCGACACAGACACACACACAGAUGCAUUAGGGUUCUGACACGCCGCAGACCUGCACUGGAGGAGGCAGGUGCCCCGGAAGGAGCAGCAGG